GCGUGAGCGAUGAAGGCCUUCGGGUCGUAAAGCUCUGUCCUCAAGGAAGAUAAUGACGGUACUUGAGGAGGAAGCCCCGGCUAACUACGUGCCAGCAGCCGCGGUAAUACGUAGGGGGCUAGCGUUAUCCGGAUUUACUGGGCGUAAAGGGUGCGUAGGCGGUCUUUUAAGUCAGGAGUGAAAGGCUACGGCUCAACCGUAGUAAGCUCUUGAAACUGGAGGACUUGAGUGCAGGAGAGGAGAGUGGAAUUCCUAGUGUAGCGGUGAAAUGCGUAGAUAUUAGGAGGAACACCAGUAGCGAAGGCGGCUCUCUGGACUGUAACUGACGCUGAGGCACGAAAGCGUGGGGAGCAAACAGGAUUAGAUACCCUGGUAGUCCACGCCGUAAACGAUGAGUACUAGCUGUCGGAGGUUACCCCCUUCGGUGGCGCAGCUAACGCAUUAAGUACUCCGCCUGGGGAGUACGCUCGCAAGAGU
rnacentral:rRNA from 1 species